UGGGGAAUCUUGGACAAUGGGGGUAACCCUGAUCCAGCGAUGCCGCGUGGGUGAAGAAGGCCUUCGGGUUGUAAAGCCCUUUAGGCUGGGAAGAAGGGAUUGGAGUGAAUAACUCUGGUCUUUGCCGGUACCAGCAGAAUAAGCACCGGCAAACUCUGUGCCAGCAGCCGCGGUAAUACAGAGGGUGCGAGCGUUAUCCGGAAUUAUUGGGCGUAAAGCGUCCGUAGGUGGUUGUUCAAGUCUGCUGUU
rnacentral:rRNA from 1 species